rnacentral:rRNA from 1 species
UGGGGAAUAUUGGACAAUGGGCGCAAGCCUGAUCCAGCAACGCCGCGUGGAGGACGAAGGUCUUCGGAUCGUAAACUCCUGUCAGGCGGGACGAAGGAUUCCGGGCAAAUAGUCCGGAAUCUUGACGGUACUGCCAGAGGAAGCCCCGGCUAACUCCGUGCCAGCAGCCGCGGUAAUACGGAGGGGGCUAGCGUUAUUCGGAAUUAUUGGGCGUAAAGGGCGCGUAGGCGGCCCGGUAAGUCAAAGGUGAAAUCCCUCGGCUCAACUGAGGAACUGCCUUUGAAACUGUCGGGCUCGAGGCCGGGAGGGGGUAGCGGAAUUCCCAGUGUAGCGGUGAAAUGCGUAGACAUUGGGAGGAACACCGGUGGCGAAGGCGGCUACCUGGACCGGUUCUGACGCUGAUGCGCGAAAGCGUGGGUAGCAAACAGGAUUAGAUACCCUGGUAGUCCACGCUGUAAACGAUGAGUGCUCGGUGUCGCGGGUAUCGACCCUGCGGUGCCUUAGCUAACGCGUUAAGCACUCCG